rnacentral:rRNA from 1 species
GUUGAUCCUGCGAGAGGUUGCUGCUAUUGGGAUUCGAUUAAGCCAUGCAAGUCAGGUCAGUAAUGGCCGGCGACAUGCUGAGUAACACGUCGAUAAUCUGCCCUGGAGUCAAGGAUACGCUCGGAAAACUGAGACGAAUACUUGAUAGGGAAGCGAUUCUGGAACGACCGCUUCCUUAAACUCGAGCUCCAGGAUGAGUCGGCGGCUGAUUAGGUUGUUGGCGGUGUAACGGACCACCAAGCCGAAGAUCAGUAGGGGCCUUGAAAGAGGUAGCCUCCAGAGGGACACUGAGAUACAGGUCCCAGCCCCACGGGGUGCAGCAGGCGCGAAAACUCUCCAAUGCGCGAAAGCGUGAGAGGGGAAUCCCAAGUGCUUAAGCAUUACGUCUUAGGCUUUUUUCGAUUGCAAAAAAAUCGGAGAAUAAGUGGUGGGCAAGACCGGUGCCAGCAGCCGCGGUAACCCCGGCGCCACAAGUGGCAACCGUGUAUUUGGCCUAAAGCGUCCGUAGCCGGUUCUGUGCAUCCCUUGUGAAAUUGUCCCGCUUAACGGGUCAGCGUGCAGGGGACACGGCAGAACUUGGAACUGGGAGGCGUCAGAGGUAUUGUUGGGGGAACGGUAAAAUGUUAUAAUCCCAGCAAGACCACCGAUGGCGAAGGCAUCUGACGAGAACAGCUUCGACGGUGAGGGACGAAAGCUAGGGGAGCAAACCGGAUUAGAUACCCGAGUAGUCCUAGCUGUAAACGCUGUGAGCUAGGUGUUGCGUAUUCUACAGGAAUGCGCAGUAUCGAAACGAAGGUGAUAAGCUCACCGCCUGGGAAGUACGGUCGCAAGACUGAAACUUAAAGGAAUUGGCGGGGGAGCACUACAAGGGGUGCGGCGUGCGGUUUAAUCUAACUCAACGCAGAACACCUUACUAGUGGCGACGGCAGGAUGAAGGUCAGUCUGAAGGGCUUACCUGACACGCCGAGAGGUAGUGCAUGGCCGACGUCAGCUCGUGCCGUGAGGUGUCCAGUUAAGUCUGGCAACGAGCGAGACCUGUACCUGCAAUUGCGGACAGCCAACCUGUUGGGACUGAGCACAUUGCAGGGACCGCUCCGGAAACGGAGAGGAAGGUGCAGGCUACGUUAGGUCUGUAUGCUCCGAAUCCACUAGGCUACACGCGCGCAACAUUGGUACGGACAAUGGGAUGCAACGCCGAAAGGCGGAGCUAAGCCUCGAAACCGUAUCCUGGUCCAGAUUGAGGGUUGGAACUCACCCUCAUGACGGCGGAAUCCCUAGUAAUCAGGGUUCAUCAUACCCUGGUGAAUAUGUCCCUGCUCCUUGCACACGCCGCCCGUCAAACCAACCGAGCAGGGUUUAGGUAAGGUCUUAUCUCCUUGAUAAGGCCGAAUCUAAGCUCAGUGAGGUGGGUUAAGUCGUCACAAGGUA